UUUUGCGAAUUUCAAGGAAAA
rnacentral:piRNA from 1 species